ACUGUCUUAGCAAGUCUGUCGGCUUAAAUAGAAAAUUAAAGUCAAGGUAAGAAUUCUUUGAUAUUCUAGGGGACGAUAAGACCCUAUAAGCUUAACAAUUUUAAAGUAGACUUUGUGCUUUAGGUUAUUUUGUUUUAUUGGGGCGAUACUGGCGGGUUAUCCACCAGUAAACUUAAGAUCCCUAACAUGGGGAAGGGGCGUAGGAGUUACUUUAGGGAUAACAGUGUUAUAUGCUUGGAGAGACCUUAUCGAUAAGUGUGCUUGCUACCUCGAUGUUGAAUUAAAAUUUCUAUGCGAAGCAGUAGGUGCAGCAGAAGGUUUGUUCAACCUUUAAAUUUUUACAU
rnacentral:rRNA from 1 species